CCUCUAAACUAUUCAUUAAAACAGUCAGAUAGAGGUUGAUUCCACCUCCAGUCAUCUUUAGCUACACCUCAGUUUCAGGUUGGGGAACCACUCCAGACCAUCUACCUACGAAGCCCUGGCUCUCUGCUAAAAGGAGAUUUUUCUGUAUGGAGUGCCAACUGCCUCACAUAAAAUCCGGAGUUCUAACCUAGCAGGUGUAGAAAUCAAAAUUGUCUUCUUUUUCCUUCCAUAUUUGUGGUCUAUCCUGCAGGUAUGGCAUUUUUGGGUUGAUAUUUACUAUAUUUUAUAUGUAAUAUAUAUUAUAUAUAUUUUACUAU
rnacentral:lncRNA from 1 species